AUAAGCAGAAACACAGAGCUUUUAGAAGUUCAAAGAAAUAUUGGGAAGAUGGCGUUUUAUGUGAGUGGAUGAUAUGGCUGAAAGAACUAUGUAUUUUCAUUACUUCUCACCUUCCGAAGCAUCACAGUGAAGUAGGAUUAUUGGUGGGCAAGACUGAGGUGGCAGCACAGUGGAAGCCCUCAUGAGUGCAGUGCCAGCCACUUGUCCAGGGGGCCACAGUUGGGGAUGAAUUAGACCCUACAGCCAUCUGGGACAAGCCACUUCUCAGCCACCAUGUCUUCAAAUUCAUCCACAUUAAACUUGGUAAAGCCCCACUUCUUUGAGAUCUGGAUCUUCUGUGAGCCAGGAGCUUGAACGUGGCCCUGUGUGUGGCCUCAAUCACAUGCUCCUUGUUCUGCAGUUUGGUGCAAAUGGACAUGAUGACUUGGCCAACGUGAAUCCUGGCCACAGCGCCCUGGGGCUUUCCAAAAGCACCAUGCAUACCUGUCUGGAGCGUGGACUGGGAACAGCACAAGGUCUGACACAUGGACAUAUAUCAGAGGGGACUGUCUCCAAGGUCCUAGCAACCCAUACAAGCCACAGGCUGCAUACACUACCAAGGAGGCUGCUGUUUGCAGCCAUUGCACACCAGGCCCCCAUGGGGAAAGGAGUAUGGUCAGCUUAAUUGCCUGCAGGAUACCAAACUUUUAAGGAGCGUUUUAUUACUAACAUUAACUCUAAGAGGAAGUUAGGAAAUAGUGUCCUGGUAUUUAAAAUAUUCAUAUA